rnacentral:sRNA from 1 species
ACUUCCGGGGCCGCCUUCGUUUUUGUCGCGCGAGGUUUUGGUUUGUGAGGAUCGGCGAGUGGCGCCCACCAUCUCUGCUUGCUGAAAAGCUGCAGAGGCCGCCAGGAGCCCACGCACCUGAGACUUUUACCUUUACCCAGAAAGGAAUAAAAGAGGUCAGAUGAUGACAGCUGUGUCCUUAACAACCAGGCCCCAGGAAUCAGUGGCUUUUGAGGACGUGGCUGUGUACUUCACUACGAAGGAAUGGGCCAUCAUGGUGCCUGCCGAGAGGGCCUUGUACAGGGAUGUGAUGCUGGAGAACUAUGAGGCUGUGGCCUUUGUAGUGCCACCCACUUCCAAACCAGCUUUGGUCUCUCAUCUGGAGCAAGGGAAAGAGUCCUGUUUCACCCAGCCGCAGGGAGUCCUAAGCAGGAAUGACUGGAGAGCAGGCUGGAUAGGCGUCUUGGCUCCGGAGAAGGCUGCGUGGCAAGAGGCGGCCAGUGAUAGCGUUCUGCCUCUUGAUGAUCCUAUCUGCGAUGGCUGUCACCCGCUUUCCCCCACAGCGUCCAUCCGCCGGCCCAGACCCUGGUCCCAUGGAGCCUCAGGGGGUAACUGGCGCCCCUGCAACCCAUAUCCGGCAGGCUUUGAGCUCCAGCCGGAGGCAGCGGGCAAGAAACAUGGGCUUCUGGAGAAGCCGUGCUUUGCCCAGGAACUCCAUCUUGGUCUGUGCUGAGGAGCA